rnacentral:rRNA from 1 species
GUCCACGCCCUAAACGAUGUCAACUAGGUGUUGGGAGGGUAAAACCUUUUAGUACCGUAGCUAACGCGUGAAGUUGACCGCCUGGGGGAGUACGGCCGCAAGGUUAAAACUCAAAGGAAUUGACGGGGACCCGCACAAGCGGUGGAUGAUGUGGAUUAAUUCGAUGCAACGCGAAAAACCUUACCUACCCUUGACAUGUUCAGAAGCCUGAAGAGAUUUGGGUGUGCCCGAAAGGGAACUGGAACACAGGUGCUGCAUGGCUGUCGU